GUCCUGAGCGGUCGCAGGGUAAUGACGUCGGCCGUAUCGGGGAUGCUGGAACCUGCGGUUGAGUGAGAAACCGGCGCCACCGCCUGCGUCUUGGUCUCGGGCUGGUUGCCAGCGGGGUCUGGGCUGUGGUUUUACCCAGCUCCUUUGCGAAGCUGCUGUCCUUUCCUCAACGUUACCACCCGGCUGGGCAGCCUACCCUCGGUCAGUACGUCCUGGCAAGAGCGCUUCGGGCGUGGCGUUCGUGUCGCGGGGGCCUCGGCUCAGAAGCGAGGGAAGAGCAGCCCUCAGAGGAGCGGCGACCGCGCUCACCGGGAGCCCGGGUUGGGAGAGGGCUCCCCAGGAGGGGUGUGAGCUCCGAACGAGAAAGAACGCCACCGCCUCGUGGGGUCUCUUCCUAAUGUGCAGAUUCCAAAUCUCUACAGUGCUGCAAAAGACAGCAACAGGUGUGCACCUUCCAAGCUUGCAACAGACCACAUUCAGAAGCUUGAUUUCCUGGUGUUCUGGGAAUAUCUGGAUCAGAAUUUCUCCAAGCCACUCUCCCCUUCAUCUCCUCCACCCCCAGGACCCAACUCCUGCCCCUCCCACCCUAGCCCCUGUUCUCCCUGCCCACCUCCUACCCCACUGGAGUGGCCUUUCAUCAAACCUAAACCAAAGAAACCAACAGACCUUUCUGUCACCACUACUCCGGGACCUGGAAGUUGAAGCGAGGGAGAGACGGUGAAACACAGAAAGCAGAACGCCUUCUGUUCUUCCACAACACAGUGUUUGUGGACGUGGCCACUAUAAGAACUGGCACUGCGUGCUGAUUAUACUCCUCAGCACAAUUAAUUUCUUAAACUUUUUAGAAUAAUUUAAAAUUUACAAAAAGUUGCAAAAAUAAAAACCAGUAAACUUUU
rnacentral:lncRNA from 1 species